GUUUUUAACAAAAAAAUGAGACUCUGCCCCCCCCAAAAAAAAAAAAAAAAAAAAAAAAAAAAAAAAAAAAACAACCAAAAAAACUG